GGAGAGAUGACCGAGUGGUCGAAGGUGCGCGCCUGGAGAGCGCGUAUGGUCGCAAGGCCAUCGCGGGUUCGAAUCCCGCUCUCUCCGCCA
rnacentral:tRNA from 1 species